UACGGAGGGGGCGAGCGUUAUUCGGAAUUAUUGGGCGUAAAGGGCGCGUAGGCGGCCUUGUAAGUCAAAGGUGAAAUCCCUCGGCUCAACUGAGGAACUGCCUUUGAAACUGCAAGCUUGAGGCCGGGAGGGGGUAGCGGAAUUCCCAAUGUAGCGGUGAAAUGCGUAGAUAUUGGGAGGAACACCAGUGGCGAAGGCGGCUACCUGGACCGGUUCUGACGCUGAGGCGCGAAAGCGUGGGUAGCAAACAGG
rnacentral:rRNA from 1 species